UGUUGAGUUGAGAUCUAUAAUUUUUUUUUUUUUUACAAAUUUAACAAAGCUCGAAUUAGUUGUAAAUAUAUUAUUUUUUUACGCAUGCAACAUUUAUCUUGUCAUGCAUUUUAGGUGUUUGAUAAAAUAUCAAUCUUAUUGAAAAUUUAUGUUUUUCCCUCUACAUAUGGUGAAUGCUUUCAAUCUAUUUUUUUUCUCUAUUUUAUUUUAAAUUUUAAAUUUUUGGAUUUUGUUGACUUU
rnacentral:lncRNA from 1 species